UUACAUCAGCAGUCAUCUAUGCGGUAAAGUGUGGUUGGCACCACCUGCCAGGUGCUCACUUGGACAUCCUCCAAAACCUAGUGGCUAAUACACGCAAGCUCAGGUCCGCCACAUGGCAUCUGUUGGCAAUACUGCUGUCCAGUGGGCGGUGGAUUGCACCCAGCCGCUGUGAAGACCAGCGCUGGUUAAACGGCAGUGUCUUGUGGUUGACUCAGGCUGGUCCUCAUGGACAAUUGCACUGGCAGAGUGGUGGCCUUGGCCACAAAACCGCUUGACCGCAUGAACUUCUGACCUAUCAGCUUUGACUGUGGUGUAGUGGACCACAGUGGCAGCAACGGGUAACGGAGAAUCAGGGUUCGAUUCCGGAGAGGGAGCCUGAGAGACGGCUACCACUACCAAGGUGGGCAGCAGGCGCGCAAAUUGCCCAAUGCUGAGACAUCUGGCGAGGCAGCGACGAACUGCAGCAAUUCCACUUGUCCUCUGUGACUGGUGGAACUUGUAAUGGAUGCUAUCCAAACACAGUGAUGAGAAUCAACUGGAGGGCAAGUCUGGUGCCAGCAGCUGCGGUAAUUCCAGCUCCAAGUGCGUAUACUGACAUUGCUGCUGUUAAAACACUUGUAGUCUGCCACUGGGUGCAGGUCUGCCAUGUGGCUGGUGGGUGUGGUUGGCUCAUUCUGGCUUCGGCCGGUUUGGGUUGGCUGCAUCUGCUGGAACUCAACCCUUGGCAGUAUGUCCUGUGCCCGAUCUUGUGAUGGUGUAUUGCUCCUGCUCCAAGCCUUCUUCAGUGAAGGCCAAGGCGGUUUCACGUCCGAUGCAUGUCUGGGCAGCAUGGUGUGACCUCACAUGAGGCAUUCACCAGCCCACCACCGGAGCCAACCAUCGCUGUCACCGUGGAAAACUCAGUGUGCUCAAAGCAUCCACCAAUGGCUGGAUGUCUGUCCAUGGAAUGGCAAAGCAUCGACCUCAUGGGACUCAGAAGUUGUGCUGGUCUUGGCGCCCAGUGAGGGCAAUAUGGUGCAGUUCACUGUGUCUGGCUUGCAGUGUCACUUGUGGCACCUGUGACCAAUGCAGUUGGGCUUGCAACCUACCGGCCAUGAUGGGACUGCUCAGGGUGUAAGAUAUUGCAACGCCAGAGGUGAAAUUCUUAGACCGCUGCAAGAUCAACUGCGGCGAAGGCGUUCUGCAAGUGCAUGUCCGUCGAUCAAGAAUGAGAGUGUGGGGAGCAAAGAUGAUCAGACACCGUCGUAGUCCACAACUGUAAACGAUGCCAGCUUGGUGCUGUUGGGGCAAGUACACGGACCCCAGCAGUGCCAACCCCCUACAACGAGAAAUCCAAGCAAUUGGGUUCAGGGGGAAGUACUGUCGCAAGGCUGAAACUUAAAGGAAUUGACGGAAUGGCACCACAAGGCGUGGAGUAUGCGGCUUAAUUUGACUCAACACGGGGAAUGUUACCAGGUCAGGACGCUGCUGGGAUGGACAGACUGAGAGCUCUUUCUUGAUUCCUUGGAUGGUGGUGCAUGGCCGCUCCUGAUUGGUGGAGUGAUUUGUCUGGUUGAUUCCGAUAACGAGUGAGACAUCUACCUCCCAAUAGCCUCAGGCUCGCAUCUGUAGGGUGGUUUGGCUGUGAAGCCGGCAGUUCGCUGCUUGGUGGAUCACCAGUUGCUGCCUGAGAGCCCUGAGUCAAGCUUCUCUGAGGUGCUGCGCACGCCACCAAGUGCUCGCAUGCUAGAGCCAACAGCAGGUCUGUGAUGCUCCCAGAUGUCCUGGGCCGCACGCGCACUACAUUGACACAGUGAAUGUGCCAUACUCACAUGUUGAGGCCUGACUGGAAGUUGUUGGGAAACCAUGUGAGCCUGUGCUGUACUGGGGAUAGCUGAUUGCAACUGUCUGCCUUGAACGAGGAAUGCCUAGUAUGCGCAGGUCAUCAGCCUGCACCGAUUGUGUCCCUGCC
rnacentral:rRNA from 1 species